rnacentral:lncRNA from 1 species
UGAAUGAUGGAUAGUAGAUGGACAUGUGAAUGAUGGAUAGUAGAUGGACAGGUGAAUGAUGGAUAGUAGAUGGACAGGUGAAUGAUGGGUAGUAGAUGGACAUGUGAAUGAUGGGUAGUAGAUGGACAUGUGAAUGAUGGGUAGUAGAUGGACAGGUGAAUGAUGGAUAGUAGAUGGACAGGUGAAUGAUGGGUAGUAGAUGGACAUGUGUAUGAUGGGUAGUAGAUGGACAGGUGAAUGAUGGACAGUAGAUGGACAGGUAUAUGAUGGGUAAUAGAUGGACAUGUGAAUGAUGGGUAGUAGAUGGACAUGUGAAUGAUGGAUAGUAGAUGGACAGGUGAUUGAUGGAUAGUAGAUGGACAGGUGAAUGAUGGAUAGUAGAUGGACAUGUGAAUGAUGGGUAGUAGAUGGACAGGUGAUUGAUGGAUAGUAGAUGGACAGGUGAUUGAUGGGUAGUAGAUGGACAUGUGAAUGAUGGAUAGUAGAUGGACAGGUGAAUGAUGGAUAGUAGAUGGACAUGUGAUUGAUGGGUAGUAGAUGGACAUGUGAAUGAUGGAUAGUAGAUGGACAGGUGAAUGAUGGAUAGUAGAUGGACAUGUGAAUGAUGGAUAGCAGGUGGACAUGUGCAAGAGGGUAAGUCCCAAAUGGCACCCUAUUCCCUUUAGCGUAUGAUGCACUACUUGGGCCCAUUGGGCUCUGGUCAAAAGCAGUGCACUAUGUAGGGAAUAGGGUGCCAUUUGAGGCGUAACCAAUGAGACGGACAGAGCAGCAGGACUCCAGCCCCCAGAGCCAGCCUGGGUCACAGUACAGACAGGAAGUCCAAGCAUGGUCGUGUUCAUAAGUGCACACCGUAGCAAAACGUUUUGCAACUGAAAACAAAAAAAUUAAGUUUCUUAUUGGACUGGAAGUUCAGGUAGUUCCCUCCGUUGCAGUCUGUUUUCUUCCGUUUGGUGCCUUAUGAACGCACAAGCGUUUCUUAUUGGACAAGCUCAGGUAGUCCCUCCCUGUUUCAGUCCUGUGCCUAAUAAACAUGACCCAGGUGUGUGACCAGUGGCCACAGAAGUCACACUAAGGUCACCACAACACUGGACAGUCCAGGUGGUGAUAGUCUGGUCCCCUCCUCAGGUCACCACAACACAGGACAGCCCAGGUGGUG